rfam:Solanum lycopersicum cultivar Heinz 1706 chromosome 11, whole genome shotgun sequence.
AUACUUACCUGGACGGGGUUUAUGGGCGAUCAUGUAGGUCCAUGGCCUAGGUUGGUGACUUCCAUUGCACUUUGGAGGGGUGCCCGCCUAAGAUCAGCCCAAGAAGUUGAGUCUACAUCAUAAUUUGUUGCUGAGGGGCAUGCGUUCGUGCGGCCCCUGC